GAGACUAGUCACUCUCCCUGAGAGAAGACAUAGCACGUACCGAUCUUGACGGACUGUCAAUGCCCAAUUGUCAAUCCUAUGAUCAGGAACAUUUAGGAUGUGUCUACGAAAGAAUGGUCUCAUGAAUCUAACUUCAUUAGAUUACAUUCUUCCAAUCACAUAUUCCUUGGACUUUAUCGUUUAAUCAUAUAACAUUUAUAUGAGACCGCUCAAACAAUAAUCUUUGCCCUUUAUAUUAAACUAGAUUAGUUUAACAUGUGAAAUGUCCGUAAAGUAUCAUCACAUGAUUGGUUUUAGGGCACAUUUCCAACAGUGGUGCUAUUUGAUUUAAAGACCCGAAUCAAAUGGCUUAAAAUCAAUCAAUUUAUAUUCGUUAUGUAUUUGUUUACCAAUAUAUUUGCAAACGUUGUCCAACACUUGACAAAUAAAAGCUGAAAGCUUUAAUUUCCGGACUUGGUACUACAAAACCAUAGAUUGUCUUUAAUGGCUUGUAAAUGUACCUAAGUAGUCUCAUCCUCACAAUCUUCCUAUUGAUAAAGUAUCAUUAGAAGAAUAUGUUAGAUAAAGUCUAUCAUAAAGAGGACAACACUUUUAAUGUCAUAAUUCUUCAAUUACAAAAUGUUGUAUAAGAAAUAAGAGUUGUUUUGAACAACCCUUAAUCAAUGCAAACAUUAGUGCUUGUUUCUUUGUUACAUGAACAAGGAACUUUAGAAGAAAGCACAAAGGCAUGGACACUUUAUGUGCCAUGAUUCUUCACUUACAAAUUGUUGUAUGAAGAAAUGAGAGUUGCCUUGAACAACUCUUGAAAGUUUGUAAUUAAGUUUAGAACAUAAUGGUUGGUUGACAAAAAUAGUCCAUCAACAUGGACUUAUGAUGAUUUUGAAUUAUUGAGUGUUGAAGUGAUAAACCACUUAACGAGACGGAAACUAGGCAAGGACUUCACCUUUGUUUCCCUAUCCUUAUAGUUCACUAAGUUUAUUGUAAAUUAUGUAGUGAACAAUAAACCACAUGCUCUCCAAAAUGUUUGAUGUGUAUAACACAAUUGAAAUAAGUUUCAAGAGAGAUAGUGGGAGUUUAGGGACCAUGACUAUUGUAGUCAAAGGUGAAAGUCAAAUGAAGAAGAUAAAAUAACUCCAAGAGAACAAACUUUCUUUAUGAAAGGAUGGACAUUGGAAGGGGUAUUUGCAAGAAAUGUCUUGCAAGUGUCAAGAACACAACUUUCAAAGGUGUUGUAAAUUGUUCUUAAAUAGUUCAAAACAGUUGGUUCUUCAACUUGAAUGCUUGAUUCCGUAUUAGUAACUAUGUUUUAUAAUUGUUGUAAAAGUGUGACUAAUAAGAAGUAGAAGAAAUAUGAGAGAAGAAAAGGUGCUUCACAUUCGGAACGUGAAUAAAAUAUAGAUCUUUGCGAAAGCAGAUAGUACUUACUUCCUCAUAUGAACUACCAAAUAAAUUGGAAAAAACCAAAGAUUGUCUUUACAUUCCAAUUUUAAGGAAUUUAAUUCCGUCACUAUAGUAGAGAUGGAUGAAUGUUUUGUUUGACAAAACAUUGUUCUUUAUUAAUCAAUGAUUGGAUUAUGGUAAUCUAAUUGAUUGUCUCUAUAGUAGAGAUGAUAUGGUAGUGUUAACUGUUUAGAAUAUUACGAUGCUUAAAACCCAAAAGGUUGCAAGGUAGUGACUAAUCCCAACUAAGUUGGGAUACCUCUAAAAACAUAAGUUACGAGUUGGUGAAAGAUGGAUGCUUUGGAUCGUUAGAUCCAGAUCCAAUACCUUCUUGUUAAAAUUGUAUAGAGGCGAAAUGUUCGAAUCUUUAUUCUUUUGGAAAGAAGAAAGAAACACAAAGUUGUUGAGGUUAAUUCACUUAGAUGUUAGUGGCACUUGUCCACAACAUAAUCAUACUCGUGUUAUAUGACAUUCACCGAAGAUCACUCUCGGUUGGACUAUAGUUUGUUUUGAAUAAACACAAGUCCGAAUACUUUGUAAAAUGUUUCAAAGAAUUCAAGAAAUGUAAGUUGAUGAAUAAGACAUCUAAAGUAAUUACCUCCUUAGAUUUGAUCCAAGGAAAAGUAACACUUUAGAUGAGUUUCCUUGAUAGAUAUCAAGGAAAAUAGCAUCAUAAGAUAAUGAAUUUCUCCAUUAGGAGAAGAACGAACUCGAAUAAGAUUUGGUUCAUUAGAUGCUAUCUAUUACCCAUAUAUAGGAUAUAUAUACUUCUAAAACAAUAUGAUUGUCAAUUAUAAGAUCUUCCAAAAUUUUCAUAACUCCAUAAGAUGUAGUUGGAAAGAAAGACAAAUCUUAAGCAUGUUAAGAUUUGGGGUUGUGUGCUAAAAGCAAUAUUUGUUUGAUAACAAUCUUGUGGGAUAUCCUUAAAUUAACUUUUGGAUAUCACUUCUAUAAACCAACUAACAAAUGUUGUUUUGUUGGGUAGUUCAUUGUAAUCCUACAAUGUGAUUUGCCUAAGAGCAAAUGAACGAGAGAUAGAACUCAAAAGAAUAGGUUCUUUGUGAGACAAGAAAUUAAUCAACAAAUAUAACAACCUAGUUCCUAUACCAAAAGCUCCAAGGUAGUCGAGAAGGAUUUAUAAACCGUCUCAGUUGAAUGGUUUGAACUUUAUGACUAUGUCAUAGAGUUACACCUCUUAAUUCGAAAGAAAUAAGAAUGAAAAUCCUUAUGACUACAUUGAGUGUAUAUAUGAUAUAUACUCAAGGAAAUGGUAAAAUACCAUUGGACCCGAAAUAAUGAAACCUUCAUAAGCUAAUUGGUAGCUUAAGGUGACUACAAUCAAAGAGAAUGGUUGACUUUGAAGAAACCAUCUUUGAGAUAGUCUUGGUUUCAAUUAAUUCGAAGAUUGCUAUCUACAACUAAAUGGUGAUUCAAUGUUUGGACAUAAUAUGGGUUUCCGAAACUAUUAUUAAGAUAGUCUUAAUAAUAUAUGUCUAAAACUAUGAAUCACAAGACAUGUAAGUUGAAGAGAUCCAUCCAUCAUGAAUCUAACCAAGCUAGUGGGAGCUAUAAGCAUCUUAUGAGAAAAGGAUCAAAUCGUUUGAUUUCUCAUAAAGAUGUAAAUGAAUCUUUUGUUUACUAGGUUUACAAAAGAUUAGUGGGAGUUAAUCAUGUUCCUAAAAUUUAAGUAUAUAUAUAUGAUAUAUUAAUUUUGGAAAUGAAAUGAAAACUUCUUGGUUAAAGUUAUGACUUUAAAACAUUAUAUGAAGAUAGAAUGUAUAUGAGAGUUAAUCAUGUUCCUAAAAUAUAAAUAUAUAUAUGAUAUAUUAAUUUUGGAAAUGAAAAGAAUACUUCUUCGUUAAAGUUAUGACUUUAAGCAUUCUAUAACGAUAGAAUGUAUAUGGGAGACAUAGUCUAUAAACAUGGGAUGAAAAUCUAUAAUGAUAGAUUUUAGGAUAUAAUUGGAUUAUAUCAAGCCCUAAAUAAUAGACAAGAGAUGCUAGGAAGUUUCUCAUAUGAUGAUAAACUUCAAUCAAAUGGACAACUCUAGUAAGACUAAGAAGUUGCUCUUCUCAAAGAGAACGUACUCUUUGACUCCCAAAGAAAUAAUGCGUAAUUAGAAUCCUUUAUGCAUACGCAGAAAGGUGAUUUAUGUAUUUCAUAUUGUAUGAAAAACAUUGAUAUGAGUUGUACCUAGAACAGGUACAAGACGAUGUCAGUGCAAGCCCAGGAUCAGAACCAUGGCAACUGUCAAGUGAAUCCUUAAGUAUUUAAGAAAUACUAAAGGAUAAAUUCCUCAAAGAUCGAGGAAGAAUUAGAGUAACGUAAUAGAAGCGUAAAUGUAUUAGAUUGUGAAUCUAAUCCAUCAUUGGAUGUUUCUUCAUUAUGAAUGAAGAGAUAAACAGAUAUCUCUUUAUUAUGACUAAAGAGAUAUUUGGAUGGAAACAUUAAAGUAAUGACUUUAGUUUGUUCCAUUAUGAAUGCAAAAUAUAUUGCCAUAUAGAAGUUUACAACAAUGUUGUUUG
rnacentral:lncRNA from 1 species